GUCGCGGUAGUUCAAUUAGUAGAACACUCGGCUGUUACCCGAGAUGUUGGAGGUGCAAGUCCUCCCUGCGACG
rnacentral:tRNA from 1 species